rnacentral:misc_RNA from 1 species
UCAAAUAAUAUAAAAAAUAAUAUAUAUAUUGACAUGGAUUAAACAAAGAUAUAUAUUAUUCUAUGUUGUAUAAACAAAUUGGCAAAAUAGAGAUGGAAGAUAAAAAUAUGGUCAAAGUAAUAAGAGUCUAUGGUGGAUGCCUAGGAGCUUUAAGGCGAAGAAGGUCGUGGUAAGCUGCGAAAAGCUUGGGGGAGAAGCAAACAUUUAUUGAUCCCAAGAUUACCGAAUGGAAUAAUCCAGCUAGCAAGAUGCUAGCUAUCUAUUAUCUAAAUAAUAGAGGCGAUACC